rnacentral:rRNA from 1 species
GACGGGCGGGAUAGCCGGUGGAAACGCCGGAUAAUACGCCAUGGCUCCACCGGGUGGCAUCACCUGGUGGAUAAAGCAGUGAUGCGGUCGGGGACGGGCAUGCGUCCCAUUAGAUGGUAGGCGGGGUGACGGCCCACCUAGUCGACGAUGGGUAGGGGAUCUGAGAGGACGGUCCCCCACACUGGUACUGAGACACGGACCAGACUCCUGCGGGAGGCAGCAGUAAGGGAUAUUGGGCAAUGGUCGGAAGACUGACCCAGCCAUGCCCGCGUGAGGGAAUGAGGCCCUACGGGUCGUGAACCUCUUUUAUUCGGGGACAAGGACAGCCACGGGAUGGUUGUUUGAGGGUACCGAAGGAAUAAGCAUCGGCUAACUCCGUGCCAGCCGCUGC